GGCGGCGAGGCUGCUUCGGGCUCUGCACGGGGGCAGCGAGCGCGGACGGAUCCCGCGGCCCCUCCGCCGCCAGCGACCCGCCGGGGGUGCACCGGGGGGCGGCCUCGCUGCCUCCCCCCCGCCGGCCUCCCUCCCUCAGCGCCCCCGCGGCGCUGCUCGGGCGGCUCCGCGGCGGGCGGGACGGGGCCGGGCGACCCCGCUCCGGCUCCGGCUCCCGCAGCCGCUCCCGCAGCCGCAGCCGCAGCUCAGCGCCGCGGGGCGCCCGGCCAUGGGCCCGCGGCCCCGCCGCGCCUCCGAGCCCGCCCCGGGGCGGCGCGGGGCCGGCCGCGGGGGGCGAAGUUACUGCCGGGGGCUGCCCGUGGGGGCCGCCUGCCCUGCGGGACCCCCGACGGCAGCCAUCCGCGGGCGGAGAGCGGCGCGGCGCCGGGCGGCGUGCAGCCCAGCGCGGGUUUUCCCUCCCCUCGCCGCAGCUCGCCCCCACCUCCCUCCUCUUCCUCCUCCUCCUCCUCCUCCUCCUCCUCCUCCUCCUCCUCGCCCGCCCCCCAACGCCGCGGGGGUCGCGGGGCGGUGCGGAGGAGCGGGGUGUCCGGCCGCGGGUCCCCGGGGGGAGGGCAGCCCGCACGGAUCCUAAAUUAAGCUAAAAGGCUGUUUGUUUCUUUUUCUUUUUUUCCUUUUAUCCCCGCAGGUCGGGACGGGUCGCACGCCCUCCCCGAGAUGCGCAGCGUGGCCCCGCGGCCCCCGCUGCGGGCACCCAAAGGUACCACGGGGCAGGGCAGGAGGAUGGGUGCGGGACGAAAUGCCGGCUCUGCCCCUCCUGACAGCACCUGCGGGGCUGCCUCCCGCUCGCCCCCGGCUUUUGGACAGCCAGAGGUGCCCGCACGGCCAGCAGCACCUCGCACAGCGGGCACCCUCGGGUGGGACCCGGACUUCACGGAAGGGGCUUGCUGGAGAUCUCGGUUCUGGAUCUCAGUCUCAGUUCGUCUCGGUUCCAGUACCCAAAGAACAAGAAGAAAAUCCUGGGACCGUUUGAGAUAGGGCUGAAAUAAACCUUAAGACAUCACCCCACUGAGGAAACUAAGAGCAACUUUGCCAAGAUGGAGAAGGCAAGAUUAAAACUUCAGUGCACAAAAACUGGAUAAACAAAGGAUAAUCAAGUGUGAGAGGACGAAGGACUUCAUUGGGGGCUCACCAUGUGGUACCAAGUUCUUCAGUUCUCCACCAUCUUGAUUCUUCUCCUGAUGGCUUCUCUUUGAAACCUGGGAAAGCAGGCUGGUCUACUGCAGCUUUCCCCAGGAAAAGGACUGAGCAUAAUAUUAUGAUCCCUUCUGAAUAUCUUUCUGCUGGCAUAACUGCAACAUGUACUGCUGAGCUGUGUUUUUGCUGUUGCGGUCCAACAAGCUGGAGGGAAUGCAACUCACUUGCAAAAGUUUCCUGUCACUAUUUUAA